ACGGUGUGCCCCACCUGUGGAACCUUGUCCCUUGCCUCGCCACCACCCGCACAAUUGCCCAGCCCGCCGCCACCUAGCCCCGAGCCACCCUCGCCUCCUCCUCCCCCCAGCCCCGAGCCGCCCUCGCCAUCUCCUCCCCCCAGCCCCGAGCCGCCCUCGCCACCUCCUCCCCCUAGCCCAGAGCCGCUCUCGCCACCUCCUCCCCCCAGCCCCGAACCGCCCUCACCACCUCCUCCCCCUAGCCCAGAGCCGCUCUCGCCGCCUCCUCCCCCCAGCCCCGAACCGCCCUUGCCACCUCCUCCCCCCAGCCCCGAACCGCCCUCGCCUCCUCCUCCCCCCAGCCCCGAGCCGCCCUCGCCACCUCCUCCCCCCAGCCCCGAACCGCCCUCGCCUCCUCCUCCCCCCAGCCCCGAGCCGCCCUCGCCACCUCCUCCCCCCAGCCCCGAACCGUCCUCGCCUCCUCCUCCCCCCAGCCCCGAGCCGCCCUCGCCACCUCCUCCCCCCAGCCCCGAACCGUCCUCGCCUCCUCCUCCCCCCAGCCCCGAGCCGCCCUCGCCUCCUCCUCCCCCCAGCCCAGAGCCGCUCUCGCCACCUCCUCCCCCCAGCCCCGAACCGCCCUCGCCUCCUCCUCCCCCCAGCCCCGAACCGUCCUCGCCUCCUCCUCCCCCCAGCCCCGAGCCGCCCUCGCCUCCUCCUCCCCCCAGCCCAGAGCCGCUCUCGCCACCUCCUCCCCCUAGCCCCGAACCGCCCUCGCCACCUCCUCCCCCCAGCCCCGAACCGCCCUCGCCUCCUCCUCCCCCCAGUUCCGAGCCGCCCUCGCCUCCUCCUCCCCCCAGCCCCGAACCGUCCUCGCCUCCUACUCCCCCCAGCCCCGUGCCGCCCUCGCCUCCUCCUCCCCCCAGCCCCGAGCCGCUCUCGCCACCUCCUCCCCCUAGCCCCGAGCCGCUCUCGCCACCUCCUCCCCCCAGCCCAGAGCCGCUCUCGCCACCUCCUCCCCCCAGCCCCGAACCGCUCUCGCCACCUCCUCCCCCCAGCCCAGAGCCGCUCUCGCCACCUCCUCCCCCCAGCCCCGAACCGCCCUCGCCACCUCCUCCCCCCAGCCCCGAGCCUCCUCAUGUUGAAGUGCCUGUCGCACCACCACCGUACCCUCCAUCACCCGCCCCUACAUAUCCAUCGAUUCCUGGUGCGCCUCCGCCCCCGCCACCGUACCCUCUGCAACCGAGCCCUGCUUACCCAAGCCCGCAGCCCCCAACGUAUUCGCCUCCUGUUUAUCCGCCCCCGACAUAUUCCCCUCCGCCGCCUCCCAGUCCACUACCCCCCAGCCCGCAGCCUCCCAGCCCUCCUCCUCCUAGCCCAUCUCCUCCUAGCCCGCCACCUCCUAGCCCGCCGCCUCCUAGCCCAUCUCCCCCCAGCCCACCUCCUCCUAGCCCACCCCCCAGCCCGCCGCCUCCUAGCCCAUCUCCCCCCAGCCCACCUCCUCCUAGCCCACCCCCCAGCCCGCCGCCUCCCAGCCCACCUCCCCCCAGCCCACCUCCCCCCAGCCCACCGCCUCCUAGCCCACCUCCAAGUCCCCCGCCGCCUUCUCCCGCUCCUCCGAGCCCGGCGCCGAAGCUGC
rnacentral:lncRNA from 1 species